GCGCAGUCCAGCUGUGUUGCUUCUCAUGCUUCUUCUUGUUGCAUCUGAGAUUGGGACGACUCCAGUGGAGGCAAGGACUUGCGAGUCACAGAGCCACAAGUUCAGGGGUCCAUGUAUAAGGGCCAGCAAUUGCGCCAACGUCUGCAGGACUGAGGGCUUCUCCGGCGGGCACUGCCGUGGACUCCGGCGCCGAUGCUUCUGCACCACACACUGCUAGAUAUCUGGCAGGAUCGGCGAUUAUGAAGAGCAUGUUGGUUCUUCCAACUUGGUGUGCUUUCUACGAAUAAAAUGUAGCCUUUGUGUGGAUUACUGAAGGCUAGUUGUGCUUAAUUUUCUGUGUUUUCUAAUUUAUAUGCUGUUUAUGCUGUCCAUUAUGUAACAAUUGUAUUUCAGUUGAUUGAGUAAAAGCAAGAGAAAUAUGUUUAAUAAUUGGCCA
rnacentral:misc_RNA from 1 species